GAGAUUUUCUAAAUAUUGUUGCGUAAAUGUUGGCUGCUUUUUGAAAAUCUCAGUAAUUGUUAUGGUAUAUAUUGUCUUGGAUAUGGACAUAUGAAGUCCUGUUUAUGUCCAGCAGCAUAAUCAAUGUUAACUGCAUAACUGAAGAAGGUUAAAAAUCAACAAUCACACUAUUAAAAUAUCAGUCAAAGGUUUUCUGUGUGCCUCUGCUUCUACUUUAAAUAGUUAAUAAUGGCUCCCUACAGAAAGGCUAGAGCUUCUUAGUGCAAUUCUUUCAUCUUCUGUAAUUUUAGUUGUUAAAGAAAAAUCUUGGACUAUCAAAAGUUGAUUUUUACAGACGACCCUGUGCAAGAAAACACUGAACAAAUAUGGUUUGGUGUGCAAUAGUUGUGAGAAGAAAGAUUCCUCUGUUGAAAAUAAAUAUGAACGUACAGCUUAGGUUAGCAAGGCUACAUCUGACUGAACCAAAGUAAAAAUGUUGAGCUUAUUGCCAAUGUGGCUUGUUUUUUUUUAAAAAAACCAACUAAAUUCAGAUUAUUAUUAGCAUAAAACCUCAUAACAAGUGUCAAGCCUGGUUGUGGAGAAAUAGUGUUUGGGUUUGUUCUGUUGUUUGUUUUUGUAGAUUUCACGUUAGAUUCAAAUAAUUUUCAGACAUUUUUAUGUCCAUUUCAUUAAAAACACAACAAAUUAAUUCUUGUCUGUUGCCACAGAUCAAAAGCUGAAGUUUCAGUGGAGCAGAUCCAGAUGUCUAGUUUGAACAACAGAGAUGAGUGACGACUGAACAGAAGAGCCUCGUCCAACUAAACCGUAGUUAUUGUUUUAUCUUGUGUAAUUUGCAAAUCUGUGUUUUUAAAUGAAUGUCCCUUUGAGAAUGCCACAACAGCAUUUUAAUAACAAAGCUGGUUGAAUUUACUCCAUAGCAUAAACCAUGAUUUUAUAUGUUUUAAUUCAAAAUAUUUAUAAAUAUCUGUUAAAAAUGCCAUGUUGAAUUAAAUGUAAUUUGCUCAAAAAUGAUAAUAAAAAAUGUACAAACCAACACAAAGAGGAGAACGACUUCAAAUUUAGUGUGUAACGUCUUUAUUUUAUGAAUGUAUUUUAUAAUUACAUUUAUGACCCAUUUCUACUGCUGGAUAUGUUGAUAAUAAAUAAAUAACUAAAAAAUAAUCAUUUUCAUUUUAGUUUUUUGACUUGAAAGAGUAACUCACCAUUAUAUAUGAUGUGUUUUAUUUUAUCUAUAUUUGUUUUUGCUCCA